rnacentral:misc_RNA from 1 species
CGCAUCUUGCGCCCAUUGGUAUUCCGAUGGGCAUGCCUGUUUGAGUGUCGCGUACCUCUCAACCCACCGCUCGCAAGAGCGCGAUGGGCUUGGACCGUGGCCGCACCUGGCCGGCGCAACUAAGCGUCUGGCCCGGCCGAAAUGUAUGCGAAGCGCUUUAUCUGUGCGCCGCGACGACCUAGCGUUGUAGACACCUCGCUAGCGUCCGAGUCGGUAUGACAGGAGCUUCAGACCAUAUCAUAACGACCUCAAAUCAGGCAGGACUACCCGCUGAACUUAG